GGCCGAGCGCCCGCGCACUUGCGUCACCGCCCGGCCGGCUGGAUCCGGUUCCAGCCGAGCCGGGCCGGCCUGACAUGCGCAGUGCGUGGGCGCUGCAGCCGGGCGGGCCGCGGGCACGCUGACUGCCCGGGACGCGGAGCUCAGACCUUUUGCAGGUCCUGAACAGCCCACAGGGCCCAGAAGGCAGCGGGGCCCCUGACAUGAGGAUUUAGAUCGAGUUGCCCUGUUCACUUUGUACCCAAAGGCUCAGCCGAGACGCCGCUGAGGGAGAAUACAGUCCAGAGACUGUUCGGUUGGAGCAGCACGAAAACACAUUGGGAAGUCCCGUGCAGAACUGUUGGUUUUUCCCUUGAGAGAAGCAGUGUCCGCGCGUCUUCCCGCAGUCGUCCUGGGAGAGCUUGUGCCCUGUGCCUGCUCCCCGAGCGCUGGGCCCACCCCAGCUGAGGUGGGGGGUAGAUGUUUUUGCACUUGUGUAGUAUGCGUUCACACGUUAAGAAUCUGAUCUUUGUUAACGUGUGGCAAGGUCAGCACUGCCAAAUUAGGAACGAGUCUCUGCUGAUUUUUCGGAAGUUGUUGAGAAGUAUAUUUUUGGUGUAGUAAAUGUUAUUUCUAGAGUCA